GAUGAAGAACGCAGCGAAAUGCGAUAAGUAGUGUGAAUUGCAGAAUUCAGUGAAUCAUCGCAUCUUUGAACGCACAUUGCGCCCCUUGGUAUUCCAUGGGGCAUGCCUGUUCGAGCGUCAUUUGUACCUUCAAGCUUUGCUUGGUGUUGGGUGUUUGUCCCGAGGGACUCGCCUUAAAGUAAUUGGCAGCCAGUGUUUGGUUUUGAAGCGCAGCACAAGUCGCGAUUCAAGGCUACACGCCCGCUUCCACAAGCCUUUUUUCACUUUUGACCUCGGAUCAGGUAGGGAUACCCGCUGAACUUAAGCAUAUCAAUAAGCGGAGGA
rnacentral:misc_RNA from 1 species